GACAGAGGUCCCGAGCGUUAGGCGGAAUCACUGGGCUUAAAGCGUGUGUAGGCGGACUUCUAAGUGCCUUGUGAAAUCCCACGGCUCAACCGUGGAACUGCUGGGCAUACUGGGAGUCUUGGGCCAUUCAGGGGCAACUGGAACAAGCGGUGGAGCGGUGAAAUGCGUAGAUAUCGCUUGGAACGCCGAAGGUGAAAACAGGUUGCUGGGGAUGUGCCGACGCUGAGACACGAAAGCCAGGGGAGCAAACGGG
rnacentral:rRNA from 1 species